rnacentral:rRNA from 1 species
UACGAAGGGGGCUAGCGUUGCUCGGAAUCACUGGGCGUAAAGGGCGCGUAGGCGGCCAUUCAAGUCAGGGGUGAAAGCCUGUGGCUCAACCACAGAAUUGCCUUUGAUACUGUUUGGCUAGAGACCGGAAGAGGUAAGUGGAACUGCGAGUGUAGAGGUGAAAUUCGUAGAUAUUCGCAAGAACACCAGUGGCGAAGGCGGCUUACUGGUCCGGUUCUGACGCUGAGGCGCGAAAGCGUGGGGAGCGAACAGG